CAAGGAAUAGUUUAAGUAGAAUGUCAGCUUUGGGUGUUGAUGGUGGAGGUUUAAGCUUCUUCCUUGA
rnacentral:tRNA from 1 species